rnacentral:rRNA from 1 species
GACGAACGCUGGCGGCGUGCCUAAUACAUGCAAGUCGAGCGCAGGAAAUCGACGGAACCCUUCGGGGGGAAGUCGAUGGAAUGAGCGGCGGACGGGUGAGUAACACGUAAAGAACCUGCCCUCAGGUCUGGGAUAACCACGAGAAAUCGGGGCUAAUACCGGAUGGGUCAUCGGACCGCAUGGUCCGAGGAUGAAAGGCGCUUCGGCGUCGCCUGGGGACGGCUUUGCGGUGCAUUAGCUAGUUGGUGGGGUAAUGGCCCACCAAGGCGACGAUGCAUAGCCGACCUGAGAGGAUGAUCGGCCACACUGGGACUGAGACACGGCCCAGACUCCUACGGGAGGCAGCAGUAGGGGAUCUUCCACAAUGGACGAAAGUCUGAUGGAGCAACGCCGCGUGAACGAUGAAGGCCUUCGGGUCGUAAAGUUCUGUUGUAAGGGAAGAACAAGUGCCGCAGGCAAUGGCGGCACCUUGACGGUACCUUGCGAGAAAGCCACGGCUAACUACGUGCCAGCCGCCGCCGUAA